ensembl:snRNA U6 U6 spliceosomal RNA
UUGCUCAUUUCAGCAGCACAUGUACUAAAAUUGGAACGGUACAGAGACGAUUAGCAUGGCCCCCGUGCAAGGAUGACAUGCAAAUUUGUGAAGCGUUCCAUAUUUUU